UUCCAGACUCCUACGGGAGGCAGCAGUGGGGAAUAUUGGGCAAUGGAGGCAACUCUGACCCAGCAACGCCGCGUGAGUGAUGAAGGUCUUCGGAUUGUAAAACUCUUUAAGUGGGGACGAAGAAAGUGACUGUACCCACAGAAUAAGCCUCGGCUAACUACGUGCCAGCAGCCGCGGUAAUACGUAGGGGGCAAGCGUUAUCCGGAUUUACUGGGUGUAAAGGGAGCGUAGACGGCUGUGCAAGUCUGAAGUGAAAGCCCAGGGCUCAACCCUGGGACUGCUUUGGAAACUGUGGAGCUAGAGUGCUGGAGAGGUAAGUGGAAUUCCUAGUGUAGCGGUGAAAUGCGUAGAUAUUAGGAGGAACACCAGUGGCGAAGGCGGCUUACUGGACAGUAACUGACGUUGAGGCUCGAAAGCGUGGGGAGCAAACAGGAUUAGAUACCCGUGUA
rnacentral:rRNA from 1 species